rnacentral:rRNA from 1 species
AUUGAACGCUGGCGGCAGGCCUAACACAUGCAAGUCGAGCGGCAGCGGGAAAGUAGCUUGCUACUUUUGCCGGCGAGCGGCGGACGGGUGAGUAAUGCCUGGGAAAUUGCCCAGUCGAGGGGGAUAACAGUUGGAAACGACUGCUAAUACCGCAUACGCCCUACGGGGGAAAGCAGGGGACCUUCGGGCCUUGCGCGAUUGGAUAUGCACAGGUGGGAUUAGCUAGUUGGUGAGGUAAUGGCUCACCAAGGCGACGAUCCCUAGCUGGUCUGAGAGGAUGAUCAGCCACACUGGAACUGAGACACGGUCCAGACUCCUACGGGAGGCAGCAGUGGGGAAUAUUGCACAAUGGGGGAAACCCUGAUGCAGCCAUGCCGCGUGUGUGAAGAAGGCCUUCGGGUUGUAAAGCACUUUCAGCGAGGAGGAAAGGUUGAUGCCUAAUACGUAUCAACUGUGACGUUACUCGCAGAAGAAGCACUGGCUAACUCCGUGCCAGCAGCCGCAGUAACAC